GACGAACGCUGGCGGCGUGCCUAACACAUGCAAGUCGAACGGGACCAGGGGCAACUCUGGUUCAGUGGCGGACGGGUGCGUAACACGUGAGGAACAUGACCUUCGGCGGGGGAGUAGCCGGCCCAACGGCCGGGUAAGUACCGCGUACGACCAUUGGGGACGAUCCCGACGUGGUGAAAGACAGCAAUAGCGCCGAUGGAGUGCCUCGCGGCCUAUCAGCUAGUUGGUGAGGUAACGGCUCACCAAGGCGACGACGGGUAGCUGGUCUGAGAGGAUGGCCAGCCACAUUGGGACUGAGACACGGCCAGACUCCUACGGGAGGCAGCAGUGGGGAAUAUUGCGCAAUGGACGAAAGUCUGACGCAGCGACGCCGCGUGUGGGAUGACGGUCUUCGGA
rnacentral:rRNA from 1 species